UGGGUGUUACCAUCCUGCAUGAGACAGGAAA
rnacentral:piRNA from 1 species